CCAUUCCCCGUUCUCAACCUCAAUCCCCUCCUACUCCAAUCACUCCGCUACCCUAACACUCUCAAAUCCUCCCGACAACUCUUCAAUUAGAACCACUUCCUUCAAACCAUACACCAUACCAACUCCGACCUCUGCUUCUCCCUCGAUGAUUACUGUGACUUCGACCCCAUUUUUUUCUACCGUAAUUGCCCCAGUGUAGUUAACUCUGCCGAUUGAGAUAUUUUGAGCUGAACCUUCACUCUCCCAGGGUUAUGAUGAUAUCCCAAAGGAGAUACCACAUCCUGAUGCCAAAAAGCUUUGGAUAUAAUCAAAAUGAGAAAGAUUGUUGAAUUGGGAUGGGGCAAAGGUGGUGGUUGCGGAAAACACAAUUGCAUCAACAGAUUCUAAACAAUUGAAACAACUCUUUACCAAACCCAUGUGUAGACACUCCAUUUUUGACAGACCUUACAACUUGGACAUCCUCGCAUGCACACCCGAUGAUGAGUUUAUAUGCUCGCCAAGUGCUCGAAGUCCUCAGCGGAAUGCCACAACUUUGAGCCUUUCAAACCCUGUACCUUUGUUGUCCCAGUUUUGGACCAAGCCUAGCUUUUCCAGCCUGUAGCCUCUAGUGGCCUACCGGCCACCACUUUUGGGCUGUCGACCAUCACUUUUAGGCUGCCGGCCACUGAUGUGGCCUGCUGGCCAUCAGUGUAUUUGCAGAUAUUUUAUACCAGUUGUGCUAGUUGUUUGCACAAAUGCAUGCAUCUAUCCCCACGUGUAAGGUUGGAUUUCCUUGAGGGAAUUUCAUGUUUUCAAUACAUAGGAGGCCCAUAUCUCAUGUUUUAAGGAUAGAAAAUUUUGAGAUAAAAAUUUUUCCUCUCUCUCUCUCUCUCUCUCUCACUCUACCAAAUCUCUAUACUUUUGCCUACAAUUCUUCAACCUUUUCCUAUACGCCCUUAACCAAAUCUCUCCAUCUUUCAGCUGAGGUACUUUUGAGCUUGGUUUGAGCUCUAGAAGGUGUGUUAACUUGGUUUUGUUACUUGGAAUUGCUUCUUCUCUUCAAGAGGUAUAAGGCUUUACCUAUUUGCUUGCUUUCUCUACUACUUUUUCUACUGUU